rnacentral:rRNA from 1 species
GACGAACGCUGGCGGCGUGCUUAACACAUGCAAGUCGAACGAAGAGCGAUGGAAGCUUGCUUCUAUCAAUCUUAGUGGCGAACGGGUGAGUAACGCGUAAUCAACCUGCCCUUCAGAGGGGGACAACAGUUGGAAACGACUGCUAAUACCGCAUACGAUCUAACCUCGGCAUCGAGGAUAGAUGAAAGGUGGCCUCUACAUGUAAGCUAUCACUGAAGGAGGGGAUUGCGUCUGAUUAGCUAGUUGGAGGGGUAACGGCCCACCAAGGCGAUGAUCAGUAGCCGGUCUGAGAGGAUGAACGGCCACAUUGGGACUGAGACACGGCCCAGACGCCUACGGGAGGCAGCAGUGGGGAAUCUUCCGCAAUGGACGAAAGUCUGACGGAGCAACGCCGCGUGAGUGAUGACGGCCUUCGGGUUGUAAAGCUCUGUUAAUCGGGACGAAAGGCCUUCUUGCGAAUAGUUAGAAGGAUUGACGGUACCGGAAUAGAAAGCCACGGCUAACUACGUG